CCUACGGGGGGCAGCAGUGAGGAAUAUUGGUCAAUGGGCGCGAGCCUGAACCAGCCAAGUAGCGUGAAGGAUGACUGCCCUACGGGUUGUAAACUUCUUUUAUAAGGGAAUAAAGUGAGGCACGUGUGCCUUUUUGUAUGUACUUUAUGAAUAAGGAUCGGCUCACUCCGUGCCAGCAGCCGCGGUAAUACGGAGGAUCCGAGCGUUAUCCGGAUUUAUUGGGUUUAAAGGGAGCGUAGGUGGGUUGUUAAGUCAGGUGUGAAAGUUUGCGGCUCAACCGUAAAAGUGCUAUUGAGACUGGCAGUCUUGAGUACAGUUGAGGUAGGCGGAAUUCGUGGUGUAGCGGUGAAAUGCUUAGAUAUUACGAAGAACUCCGAUUGUGAAGGCAGCUUACUAAACUGCCACUGACAUUGAUGCUCGAAAGUGUGGGUAGCAAACAGGAUUAGAUACCCUUGUAGUC
rnacentral:rRNA from 1 species